rnacentral:rRNA from 1 species
AGUGAACGCUGGCGGUAGGCCUAACACAUGCAAGUCGAACGGCAGCACAGUAAGAGCUUGCUCUUACGGGUGGCGAGUGGCGGACGGGUGAGGAAUACAUCGGAAUCUACUUUUUCGUGGGGGAUAACGUAGGGAAACUUACGCUACUGCCUCAUACGACCUACGGGUGAAAGCAGGGGAUCUUCGGACCUUGCGCGAUUGAAUGAGCCGAUGUCGGAUUAGCUAGUUGGCGGGGUAAAGGCCCACCAAGGCGACGAUCCGUAGCUGGUCUGAGAGGAUGAUCAGCCACACUGGAACUGAGAAACGGUCCAGACUCCUACGGGAGGCAGCAGUGGGGAAUAUUGGACAAUGGGCGCAAGCCUGAUCCAGCCAUACCGCGUGGGUGAAGAAGGCCUUCGGGUUGUAAAGCCCUUUUGUUGGGAAAGAAAAGCAGCAGGUUAAUACCCCGCUGUUCUGACGGUACCCAAAGAAUAAGCACCGGCUAACUUCGUG